UGCCCACUCCCAACUCCUAUCCCUACCUCGUCGUGGUACUCGGGUAACCAACCCCCGGUGGAAACUUUGGUCGUAUGCUGACAGGGAAGG
rnacentral:ribozyme from 1 species